rnacentral:sRNA from 1 species
AGCAGCCGCGGUAAUUCCAGCUCCAAUAGCGUAUAUUAAAGUUGUUGCAGUUAAAAAAGACUCGUAGUUGAAUUUCGGAAUUUAUCGGUUGGUCGGGCUUCACUGUCCGCACUGGCCUGAUGGAUUCCUACCUUCUGAAUAACCAGCAUGCUAUUAAUUUAGUGCGUUGGGGAAGCAGAGCUGUUAACCUUGAAAAAAUUAGAGUGCUUAAAGCAGGCUUACGCUUGAAUAGAUUAGCAUGGAAUAAUAAAAUAGGACGGCUUGGUUCUAUUUUGUUGGUUUCUAGGAUCACCGUAAUGAUUAAUAGGGAUAGUUGGGGGCAUUAGUAUUCAAUUGUCAGAGGUGAAAUUCUUGGAUUUUAUUGAAGACUAACUUCUGCGAAAGCAUUUGCCAAGGAUGUUUUCAUUAAUCAAGAACGAAAGUUAGGGGAUCGAAGACGAUCAGAUACCGUCGUAGUCUUAACCAUAAACUAUGCCGACUAGGGAUCGGACGAUGUUAAUUUUUUUAAU